rnacentral:rRNA from 1 species
UGGGUGGAAAACCUAAAGGCGAAAUGAAAGUGAAGGGGGCCUCUGGCCCCCGAGGGAAGAUGGGCGUCCGUCCUUCGCAGGCGGCGCCCCGCACUCCCGGGGCGUCUCUUUCUCGUUACGAGUGGAGGCGCACCUGUAGCGCACACGCUGAUACCCGAAAGAUGGUGAACUAUGCCUGGCCAGGACGAAGCCAGGGGAAACCCUGGUGGAGGUCCGCAGCGAUUCUGACGUGCAAAUCGAUCGUCGGAGCUGGGUAUAGGGGCGAAAGACCAAUCGAACCAUCUAGUAGCUGGUUCCUUCCGAA